UACGUAGGCAGCGAGCGUUGUUCGGAGUUACUGGGCGUAAAGCGUGCGUAGGCGGUGUCUUAAGUUUGGUGUGAAAUCUCCCGGCUCAACCGGGAGGGUGCGCCGAAAACUGGGAGGCUAGAGUGCGGGAUGGGAGAGUGGAAUUCCUGGUGUAGCGGUGAAAUGCGUAGAUAUCAGGAGGAACACCGGUGGUGCAGACGGCUCUCUGGACCGUAACUGACGCUGAGACACGAAAAGCGUGGGUAGCAAACAGG
rnacentral:rRNA from 1 species